ACGCAGGAAGGCCUGUGGACAUUAGUACAAUCAAGGUAGCAUUCAAGAGCUAUCGUGUGUGCAUUGUAGAAAACUUAGCAAAUUUUUGCCAUAUUUAGCUAACCAGACCCCUCUAGCAACUAUUUUUCACAACAAAAAAAAAGGCAGAAAUAAUGACAGUGGUCCUAAAUGUUGGCAACAUUUGUAAUUCCUGCACGGUGGAAGAAAGAGGGCCAAGACGAUAUCAUUCCAGUUUCUCAUGUGGCCUCUUUUCAAAAGUUGUCCAUCCUUGAUCCAGAGUCUGUAUUGGAGUUAUACCUGUGAUUUGACUGUUUCCAUUGGAGACUAUAAAUGCAUACUUUAUUAGUCGAUUACUGUGACAACCUGGGUUCCCUUGGGAACAACAAAUUUGAAUCCAUCCAUACAUCAAGUACUUUUCUUUGCAAUAUAAUAGCCCAUUAAUCAAUCAAUAAUCAGGUAAGUUUCUGACGCAAAAUCAAAAGUGCAUCUUGGAGACUGACACAUGGAUAAAAAAAUACUAGUGAAGCGUGCGUACCCCUGACAGCCGCACACACAAGCAUUUUUGCAAAACAGAUGAAGCCACCGUCGCCCCGGAAAUGCUGAAAGGGCAACUCUUCCCUCCGUAAGCAAUUUCUCGCGCCCCGGUACUGUAAUUAUAUUUCCCGCAUCAGCCAACAUCUCCCCGUCGGUGACCUCUGUAAAUAACGCUAAUAAAGCUCACCGGUGCACCUCCCAAAGAGCGUCCACUUGUCAGCCAGAGUGGCCUGGACGGUCAUGGUGACAAUGGGCCAUUGAAGGGAAGAAGAGGGGACGUGGCCAGAGGGGCCUGGCGGCGUCUGUGUCUGCAGAGCCUCCGACAAUGCUCGCCCCUGACAGCUUUGCAUAAUUCAUCUUGUCGAGGCGCUCUCCUGCUCUCUCCUGGCUGUCGGUGCUAAGGGUAUAUGGGGGGGGAGGGGGUUAGAGGGGGGAGUCAGAGUAGCAUUCCAUCAGAUGAUACCUGUUUUUUUCCGUGUAUUUUUGGAGUUUGACUGCAGCACAUUGCUUCGACUCUGAAUUUUGAAUGCCGUUGCAACCAGAUUGUCUUCUUGGUGGAGGCUCAACGCCUGAAUCCAUUUGACUCUUCCAUCUUUAAGGCUCACUCACGCUUCCAGUAGAUGGGGAAUAGAUGCAGGAGCAUUGUAAAAAGGUGAUGGGCUAUCAUAUCAGGGGUAGGAUAUGUUCUAUAAUAUGAAAAAUAUCAAAACUGAUUACCACCAACUUUGUAGAGCGGUGGUGCCUUGGCCCAGAGCCAAAAUGUCCCGUGUCCAGUCCUGCUUUAAUGUUCCUGACGGAAUUUUAAAAAAUGAUACUAUAGACCAGGGGUCUUUCAGGAUUAUUAUGAGGUUGAUUAUUUGAAAGGUGUGUUGGAGCAGGGAAAAUUAUAAAAGGCUGCAUAGGGGCUCUCGUGUAACCGGACUUGGACACAUUUUGACUGGAAUCAUGAUUGGAAGCACCAAAGUAAUCAGUGGAAUUUUCAAUGAAAAUGUCAGCGUUCCAGUCAAUGUCGAUGGAAUCUCAGACACACAGUCAAUAUAGCGCCAAUGUUUGUCUCAUUGGAAUCCCCGAUCGAAGCGUCAAUUGAUUAGAGCCAUUUAUGAACUAUCAUUGGAACAGCCAGUGAAGCCUUCAAUGAAAAAAACCAAUGGAAUGUCAAUAGAAUGUUCUAUUAAAGAACCAUAAUGGCACAAAUAUUAUGACAGGUAUGGACCAUGAAAAAGGAAGUAGUCAACAAACUAAUAAACAUGCUGUGUUUUUUUUUUUUCGUGUUUUUGUGAAAUGUAAGACUUUGCCUUUAGCACAUUGUCGUAAACUUUGGACACUGUGAGAACCAGAUUGUCUUUACCUCUGUGGAGGCUCAGCGCCUGAAUCCAUUUGACUCUUCUGUUCUUAUACUGCAUCCAAUUGUACAUGUACAGUCCUUAGGCCACCAUGUGUUUGAGCAAUGCUCUAAAGGGUGUUUCUGAAAAAAUGCAUUUUUAAAAGCCACCACAAAUUAAACUGAACUCCUAUAUCACGACAUAAAAAUGUACAAAAGUAUUAUUUUUUUAAUUUGAUAUAGUAUGGAAAAUAAUAGGUAAAGGACAAGAAGGUAAAGGACAACCAGCCACUCUUGUUAGCUGAUGUCAACAUAAAACUACCACGAUUGUUGUUUUUAUAGUAUCAUAAAUCCGAAGUUCAAACUUUUACUGCAUCCUUAAAAAGUGACUAUGCCGCAUAAAAACAACGAUUGAUAUUUCCUAAAAGAAGAAACCGUACUGGUGUUGUAAUUUCCAAAAAAGAGAAACA